AACGCGAAGAACCUUACCCAGGCUUGACAUCCUGCCAAGGUCUCCGAAAGGGGAUUGUGCCUUCGGGCCGCAGUGACAGGUGGUGCAUGGCCGUCGUCAGCUCGUGUCGUGAGAUGUUUGGUUAAGUCCAUCAACGAGCGCAACCCUUGUAGUUAGUUGUAAUUUUUCUAGCUAGACUGCCCUGGUAACAGGGAGGAAGGAGGGGAUGAUGUCAGGUCAGUAUUUCCCUUACGUCUGGGGCCACAAACACGCUACAAUGGCCGGUACAAAGGGCUGCCAAGUCGCGAGACGGAGCAAAUCCCAUCAAAGCCGGUCUCAGUUCGGAUUGUAGGCUGAAACUCGCCUGCAUGAAGUCGGAAUCGCUAGUAACGGUAGGUCAGCAAUACUACCGUGAAUACGUUCCCGGGCCUUGUACACACCGGAGUA
rnacentral:rRNA from 1 species